ACAGGCGUUGGAGAUAAAAGUCUGCUCCCUUUGAACUCCAGCAUGCAGAGUAAGGGGAGGACAAUAGACUACAAGUGCUCUUGGUGCUUUCGUCGUCCACUGGAGAAAAAGCAAGCAGACACUAUUAUAAGGACAGACCUAUUGUGGUGCUUGGUGUCUUCUUCAGAGGACUUCUCCAGAAGGAGCAUGCAGUGACCCGAGAGUCUGAGAACUUCCUCCUUCCCAUCAGAUUAGGGAAGCCCUGGGAGGAUGUCUUGUGUGUGGUACCUGUUUGCAUUUGCCUCCGACUCAAAUGAACACAGUCGUAUGACAAAGCAGCAUGUUUGGGGGUGCUGCAUUCUGAUCCACCGUGUAGUCACACACACACACACACACACACACACACACACGCACGCGCGCACACGCACACGCACACACACACAGGGUGUUAUUGCUGUCAUGGAUAUAACGUCUACUUUGAGCCAACCAGGCUGAUAUUUUCUGCUUAUAGAGUGCAGAAUUAGGGAAGUUCUCUCAAGGAAAACAGAGAAGUUGCAAUCUACACAAACUCUAUUAUCUCAAGGCUUUAUUCUUCCUGGGUUACUUUCUCAUCACUAGAGCCCAUUUUCCACGGCCACCCUUUCCCAGAGAAUCUGGUGAGAAAUGAAAGCCCAUGCUGGAACUAGUAAACACACUCUCCCUUGGGGAUGCACAUGAACUGGACCGAGGCUCCUUCUAGAGGACCGCAUGGCUAUCUAGAAGGGGUCCCAGCUGGACCACUGAGAAGGGGUGUGCAUAGGACACCCAAUUUUCAGGGCUCUGUGUCUUAUUCACUGUCAGCCUAUAUAAACCUUUGAAAACGGGGAAGUCCAUUGUUGAGUGUUUUUUUAACCUUGAAAACCAUCAACAGCAUCAGAUUGGUCCAUCUCUAACACAGGGUGGGGUUCCAUCCUUUUCAAGCAUCCUCUCAUCUUCAGAGAGUCCCGGUCAAACAGUGUGUUGCUCUGUGUAGAUGCACAGGAUAGACAUGCCCUAACAACUAGGGCCUUGAUUCUAGAACACAGGUGAGUAGCAUCUCUACCAGGCUCUAGCUUCAAACGGAGUGUUUAUAUGCUGCGGGAGCAACAUUGCCACCAACGGCAGAUUUGUGUGUUCUCAGGGGUAGGAGUUGGUGGUCAUGCUUCUAAAUGGCCUAGUCAAUGUGGCACUGUGGAACACUAGGUUACCAGGUUAAGUAAAAAGACAGAGGCAAGAGGCUCAACAAUUAAAUUUGACUUUCAGGUAGAUAAUAAAGACAACUUCAGUUUGUAUUCUUACCGUAUGCUUAUGAGGAUUUUGCUUGCAUGUGCGUCUGUGCACUCCAGGUAAAUAGUGAGCACUGAAGGAGAGGGGAAAAGGAUAUCAAAUCAUCUGAAACUGGAGCUACAGGUGGUUGUAAGCUGCCAUGUGGAUGCUGGGAGCAGAACUUGAACCCUCUGCAAGAGCAGCAAGUAUUCUUAACUGCUGAGCCAUUUGUACAGCCCCGAUAAUUUUUCUAUUAAGUGAUGUUUCAUGUAAUGAUUGUUGGGAAAGCAAAGCAUGAAAGUUGUUUUCCUGAGACCGCUCUGAAACUCACAUUUAACUGGGAGUACUGGAAAACCAAGCAGGUAACUACUGAAUCUCUGUUCUGUACUGACAAACUGGACGUACUGGUAAAUCAAGCAGGCAACUUCUGGGUCUACAUUCUGUUCUGACAAACUCGGCACAGUUCUGGCCCUGGAAGGCCACAUACGAGGCCACUCCUUUCAUGAGGAUGCUCAUGAAUCCAUCUCUGGGAGGAUGGAGACACACCCAGUCAGGGGCCACAUUCACAAGUCACCUUGAGAGUAACCAGCCGAUGAUGCUCAUAAAGUCUUCCUUCUGAGAACACCUAGGAAAACAAUAUUUAGCUUUAUCAGCUUCCUGCAGAGUGUGCUUUCUAAUUAUCCAUUAACUGUGCCACAUCCUGUUGAAGUUUACACUGCUUCUUCUGCCUUCCUUUUUAGUGGGAAAAAACUGAAGAACCUGAUUCUCAGGCUGCCCAGUGAGACCAUCCAGGAGUGGGAUAAAGUGCCAGGCCAGGCCUCAGUACCCUGAAUAAUCAAAGAACUGCUGGAGGUGUCACCAGCCCCCAACUCGAACUGUACUACAGAGCUAUAGUAAUAAAAACAGCAUGGUAUUGGCACAAAAACAGACACAUUGGUAAAUAAAAUAUAAUUGAAGACUCAGACAUAAA